AGAGUUUGAUCAUGGCUCAGGACGAACGCUGGCGGCGUGCUUAACACAUGCAAGUCGAGCGGUAAGGCCCCUUCGGGGGUACACGAGCGGCGAACGGGUGAGUAACACGUGAGUAAUCUGCCCUUCACUUCGGGAUAACCGCCGGAAACGGCGGCUAAUACCGGAUACGACCAGCCCUUGCAUGAGGUGCUGGUGGAAAGUUUUGUCGGUGAAGGAUGUGCUCGCGGCCUAUCAGCUUGUUGGUGGGGUAAUGGCCCACCAAGGCUUCGACGGGUAGCCGGCCUGAGAGGGUGACCGGCCACACUGGGACUGAGACACGGCCCAGACUCCUACGGGAGGCAGCAGUGGGGAAUAUUGGACAAUGGGCGAAAGCCUGAUCCAGCAACGCCGCGUGAGGGAUGACGGCCUUCGGGUUGUAAACCUCUUUCAGUACCGACGAAGCGCUCCUAGGAGUGGUGACGGUAGGUACAGAAGAAGGACCGGCCAACUACGUGCCAGCAGCCGCGGUAAUACGUAGGGUCCGAGCGUUGUCCGGAAUUAUUGGGCGUAAAGGGCUCGUAGGCGGUCUGUUGCGUCGGGAGUGAAAUCUUACAGCUUAACUGUGAACUUGCUUUCGAUACGGGCAGACUUGAGGCAUUCAGGGGAGAACGGAAUUCCUGGUGUAGCGGUGAAAUGCGCAGAUAUCAGGAGGAACACCGGUGGCGAAGGCGGUUCUCUGGGAAUGUCCUGACGCUGAGGAGCGAAAGUGUGGGGAGCGAACAGGAUUAGAUACCCCCGUAGUCC
rnacentral:rRNA from 1 species